rfam:Triticum aestivum genome assembly, contig: Triticum_aestivum_CS42_TGACv1_scaffold_543444_6DS
UUUGUACUCCCUCGUCCCAAAAUUCUUGUCUUAGAUUUGUCUAUAUACAGAUGUAUCAAGUCAUGUUUAGUAUUAGAUACAUUCGUAUCUAGACUAAUCUAAGACAAGAAUUUUGGGACGGAGGGAGCAUGUA